rnacentral:rRNA from 1 species
UCUUAGUGGCGAACGGGUGAGUAACGCGUGAGUAACCUGCCCUAGAGUGGGGGACAACAGUUGGAAACGACUGCUAAUACCGCAUAAGCCCACGGUACCGCAUGGUACUAAGGGAAAAGGAUUUAUUCGCUUUAGGAUGGACUCGCGUCCAAUUAGCUAGUUGGUGAGGUAACGGCCCACCAAGGCGACGAUUGGUAGCCGGACUGAGAGGUUGAACGGCCACAUUGGGACUGAGACACGGCCCAG